rnacentral:rRNA from 1 species
AUUGAACGCUGGCGGCAGGCCUAACACAUGCAAGUCGAGCGGAUGAAGGGAGCUUGCUCCUGGAUUCAGCGGAGGACGGGUGAGUAAUGCCUAGGAAUCUGCCUGGUAGUGGGGGAUAACGUCGGGAAACGGGGGCUAAUACCGCAUACGUCCUGAGGGAGAAAGUGGGGGAUCUUAGGACCUCGCGCUAUCAGAUGAACCUAGGUCUGAUUAGCUAGUUGGUGGGGUAAAGGCCUACCAAGGCGGCGAUCGGUAACUGGUCUGAGAGGAUGAACAGUCACACUGGAACUGAGACACGGCCCUGGGUCCGACGGGAGGCAGCAGUGGGGAAGAUUGGACGAUGGGCGGAAGCCUGAUCCAUCGGUGCCAGGUGGGUGCAGAAGGUCUUCGGGUUGUAAAGCGCUUUUAGUGGUGAGGAACGGCUGUAGCUUAAACCCUGCCUGUUGUGACGGUACCUGCAGAAGAAGCACCGGCUAACUACGUG